GAUGAACGCUGGCGGCGUGCCUAACACAUGCAAGUCGAGCGAACGGACGAGAAGCUUGCUUUUCUGAUGUUAGCGGCGGACGGGUGAGUAACACGUGGAUAACCUACCUAUAAGACUGGGAUAACUUCGGGAAACCGGAGCUAAUACCGGAUAAUAUUUUGAACCGCAUGGUUCAAAAGUGAAAGACGGUCUUGCUGUAACUUAUAGAUGGAUCCGCGCUGCAUUAGCUAGUUGGUAAGGUAACGGCUUAUCAAGGCAACGAUGCAUAGCCGACCUGAGAGGGUGGUAGGCCACACGGGAAGUGAGACGCGGUCCAGACUCCUACGGGAGGCAGCAGUAGGGAAUCUUCCGCAAUGGGCGAGAGCCUGACGGAGCAACGCCGCGUGAGUGAUGAAGGUCUUCGGAUCGUAAAGCUCUGUUAUUAGGGGAGAACAUAUGUGUAAGUAACUGUGCACAUCUUGACGGUACCUAAUCAGAAAGCCACGGCUAACUACGUG
rnacentral:rRNA from 1 species